UACGGGGGGGGCAAGCGUUGUUCGGAAUUACUGGGCGUAAAGCGUACGCAGGCGGCUUUGCAAGACAGGUGUGAAAUCCCCGGGCCUAACCUGGGAACUGCAUUUGUGACUGCAUGGCUAGAGUUUGUCAGAGGGGAGUGGAAUUCCACGUGUAGCAGUGAAAUGCGUAGAUAUGUGGAGGAACACCGAUGGCGAAGGCAGCCCCCUGGAAUGUGACUGACGCUCAUGUACGAAAGCGUGGGGAGCAAACAGG
rnacentral:rRNA from 1 species